rnacentral:rRNA from 1 species
UACGUAGGGGGCGAGCGUUGUCCGGAUUUAUUGGGCGUAAAGAGCGUGUAGGCGGCUUUACAGGUCCGUUGUGAAAACUCGAGGCUCAACCUCGAGACGCCGGUGGAAACCGUAAAGCUAGAGUCCGGAAGAGGAGAGUGGAAUUCCUGGUGUAGCGGUGAAAUGCGCAGAUAUCAGGAGGAACACCGAUGGCGAAGGCAGCUCACUGGGACGGUACUGACGCUGAGGCGCGAAAGCGUGGGGAGCAAACAGG